CUAUUUUAAUCCAGUGAAGCUUGGCCACUGUUUCUUCCUCUAGUGAAGCUUGGCCACCGUUUCCCCAAAUCCACAAGACUGCUCCACCCGGCCGAGCCAGCUGCAAGGGAUGGCCGGAGGGCUGCUGCGAGAGCUGACUGGAGACGGCGCAGCUUCACCGCCACACGUAUCCCGCUGCUAGCAGCAGGGAGACGGCGAAGUACACAAGCAGCAGAGCAACGACGAGAUCUACGAGCCUGACGACAACGGCAAGCUGGAGCCUCCUCCCAACGAGCUCGAGAAGGAAUACGACGCCGGCGAUGUCCCGGAGCAGCACGGCCGACCUGGACGAGGAUGAGGGUAGCAACCAGACGAGGGGCAUGCCUGGGCCGCCGUGCUAUCUUACGGCUGCACGAGGCCUCUGACGGCAGGGUCGCGAUAGCUGGACCUCGGCGCCCUCCUGCCUGGCCAAGCCCCAGUAGCAAAACCAAAGAUACUGUCCAACCAAGUUUGUGUUUCCACAUUGCUUCUUAUGGCAUUGAAAGCUUCUUCAAAGGCUUCCUCUUCCUCAUACUUGUACAUGCAAGCACUGAAAUCAGCAAGUACAUUUGGUCCUUCCUCGUCUUUUUUCUUAUGAGGUACAAUUCCUGAAUCAUCCGCUGUUUCAAUUUCAAAUGCUUGCAAGGCCGAAAUUUUCCUCUGUGAUGGCAUCAAGUGGCUUGCCCCAGUAGAAGGAAGACAAAAGGGAGAUAAUCUGCAUCGCCUACAGAUCAGCUUGCCUUGGUUUCACUCUGAACAUGGGGGACGAUCAGAAGAGAGAUAAGGCAAAAGGGAGUUGAUCUCGCCACCUAAAGACCACAGAUGAACGUACCUCCGCCGUGUUCUUUUACAAGGACGAACAAGAGGAACGGGGAAGAUGAGCAGGACGAAGGCAAAUAGAUCGCUGUUUGUUGCCAACGCGAUUAUUAGGGUGGUGUUUUGUUUGGCGCCAAUGUGAGUCUUUGUGGUUCUGUUUGGCGCCAAUCUUGCAACCGAACGAGAUUUUCUACCACAUAAUUAGGUGUUUGUUUCCAUUUAUUAACAGAAUCGAGUGGAGGUAAUGAGAGCCGUGAGAUUUAAAUGAA